AGAGUUUGAUCAUGGCUCAGAAUCAACGCUGGCGGCGUGCCUAACACAUGCAAGUCGCACGAGAAAGGGGCUUCGGCUCUGAGUAAAGUGGCGCACGGGUGAGUAACACGUGAAUGAUCUACCUCCGAGUGGGGAAUAACUGAGAGAAAUCUUAGCUAAUACCGCAUAACACUUACGAGUCAAAGCAGCAAUGCGCUUGGAGAGGAGUUCGCGGCCGAUUAGUUAGUUGGCGGGGUAAUGGCCCACCAAGACGAUGAUCGGUAUCCGGCCUGAGAGGGCGCACGGACACACUGGAACUGAAACACGGUCCAGACUCCUACGGGAGGCAGCAGUGGGGAAUUUUGCGCAAUGGGGGAAACCCUGACGCAGCAACGCCGCGUGGAGGAUGAAAUCCCUUGGGAUGUAAACUCCUUUCGAUAGGGAAGAUAAUGACGGUACCUAUAGAAGAAGCCCCGGCUAACUUCGUGCCAGCAGCCGCGGUAAUACGAGGGGGGCAAGCGUUGUUCGGAAUUAUUGGGCGUAAAGGGCGCGUAGGCGGUUUGACAAGUCUGAUGUGAAAUCUCUGGGCUCAACCCAGAGUCUGCAUUAGAAACUGUCGGGCUUGAGUAUGGGAGAGGUGAGUGGAAUUUCCGGUGUAGCGGUGAAAUGCGUAGAUAUCGGAAGGAACACCUGUGGCGAAAGCGGCUCACUGGACCAUAACUGACGCUGAGGCGCGAAAGCUAGGGGAGCAAACAGGAUUAGAUACCCUAGUAGUCC
rnacentral:rRNA from 1 species